GCCCCUAUAGGUUAAUGGAUAGACUGCUGGCUUGCGGAGCCGGUGAUCGCGGUUCGAGUCCGCGUGGGGGCA
rnacentral:tRNA from 1 species